AAAAAAAUAAAAUCUUUAAAAAAAAUAAAUUUGGUUGGAUUUCAUAUUUGCCUUACAAUUUUUUUUUGAAAUAACUAUUGUCUGCUCUUCCAUUUCAAGAAAUUCUUGGUAAUUAUGGUUUAUUUUUUGUCCUUCCCACUUGAGUUACCAACCAGCAGUAUGAGGGGAAGGUACAGAUCUUCCCUGAUGCGUUUGAUUUAUUUUGAAUGCUGGCAAAUUCACAGUCAGAGAGGCAGUUUGAUUUUGGCUUAGUUUUCAGGAAAUUUUUGAUUUUUUGGGCUAUAGUGUGAAGAUGUAUUUUUACUUUUUAUUUUUGAUAUAUUUAUUUUUGCUGUUAAUUGUUUGCUUCAGGUUGAAUGGUUAGUACUUUCUCUAUCUCAGUCAGUCCAUGUUUUGGGGGUCCUUAAAGUUUCUGCUACAAAUUGACAUUAAAAAUCCUGAUGUGAGUCCUGCCUGGGUUCAGUUAGCUCCCUGCUGAUGUGUUUAAGGGCCUGAGUUAAGCCCUAUGAACAAGCCAGUGUUCACUGGUUCCUGACUUUCAGCUGGACCCAUAACCCUAAAUUUACCUCACAAGAGCACCUGCCAUCACAAAGGAAACUAGGUGAGGACCAAGGACAUCUCAGGUAUAGGCAUCAUUCCUUCUGAAAAAGUAACUAAAUAUGUAGGCCCUGUUUCAAAUUUGAAGGAUCUAUAUGGGGUAAACUGCGGAAGCACAUUAUAGUACAUCUCAAGGUGGAAGUGUGAGGGGCAAAUUGUUGAAAUGAGACAAGAGGAAGCUGGCUCCUUUCCUCACACGUUAGUGAAGGAUAGUGGUGAUAUUGUCCCAUGCACUCCAUAUUGGCAUCAAGAGACUCCGAGGGGUCAGUAACUGGGUGCAGGUAGUGAUGUGCAGUCCAAACUGGGAGACUAGCAGCUGAAGAUGUACAGGAUUGAUCUGACCUAGGAGCAGGUGGGAAGGAAAGCGGCAUUAGGUUAGGUCCAGUCUGCUCUAGGAGAGAAGGCUCGGGUACCAGCCUCCCAGCCUCCCUGGUGCCUGAGCUCCAUUUUGCAGCAGGCUGGCGUUGUUUGAAUGUUCUUACAGCGUCAUUCAGGGCCAUGUGAAUCUGCUUUUGUUGUGGUACAUCUAUUGUUUUAUUAGCUCACCUCUUGCAACCAAAGUGGGAACUCUAUCAUAAAACACCAUGCUCCUCAUUUUCUUUCCUCCAACCCCUUUCCAAAUGACCGAGAACCUGUCUUUGUUUGCCAACUCAUUCUUAGGGUAGAGACUGAAAAAGUGCGGGACUUUGUGUGUACGUGUGUGAGUGUGUGUUUUUAGGGGGUGGAGGAACUUGAAGGGGAGCUAGCCAUUGUUAUUCAUUAUAAAACUAGUCAAACUUUGUAGUUUCCAAAAGAAAUAUCAGAUGGCAGAUUCUUCACCAUCAUGUAUUUUUAAAGUCCAAUUGAUCUACGUCUAAGGGGAAAAUAUGUUAUUUUAAAUGCAGUGUUCAUACUAAAGGAAUAUUGAAAAUGAUUGAACAGAAUAAAACAGCUAAUACUUAUUGAUGCUUAUUGUUUUCCAGACAUUUACUUUUAUUAACUAGUUUAUUCUUUUAGCAAAGCUAUAAGGUAGAUCUUGUUAUUAUCCAUAGUACAACAGCUGAGGAAAUGGAGAUGUAGAGAAAUCACGGAGCUGGUCCAAGGACACUCUGGCAGAGUAAAGAUGUCCAAAAAUUUUUGACACUCUCUCAUUAAGAAGAGUCUCUUCCCCUUGAACCUACUGGGCUCCAUGUCUGCCUUGAUUAAUAGAAUAUGAUGGAAGUGAUGCUUUACCAGUUUUUGGGUCCUGGCCUCAAGCGUUUGGCAACUUUUACUUCCUGCCUCUGGAAACACUUGUUCUUGGAGCGCUAAGACACACGUAAAAGUCUGACGACCUGAGGCCAUCAUCUAGAAGGUAGAAGAACUGAUGCCUGAAUGGACCAACCACAAGGGCAGAGGCUUGCCUGAGCUGUUCACUGCUGCGUUCCCAGCACCGGGAAUAGUGAAACAGACGUGAAAUGCUUUUCAGUGAAUGAAUAAAUGACGGAAAUAUUUUAUUUUAAGGAGGAAGAAUUGUCUCCAUUGUUCCAGAAUGGCAUGCUUUGGUUCACAAGAAUCAUAAGAAGAAGUCAUGUGCAAGACUUCUAGGGAAAAUGGACAUUCCUCCUUGGACAUCAAGGAAAGUUACCCCUUGCCUGGCCUGGGAAAAGCAGAGGCAGGUCAGAGAAGUGGACAUUUAAGUGGAUGUGAUUUGGACCAGCACUGGCUGGCACCUUAAUUACAGCCCUGUGAGAAACCCUGAAGCAGAGAACUCAGAGGAAGGAACUUAAUUUAUCCAAGGCCAAGUGACCAGUAUGUAGCAGAGCAGAUACCAGAGCCCGGGGCUGUCUGACACAAAGCCUUUAUACUUUGUUUCACGACAUGCUGCUUACCACUGUGGCCUCAUUGCUGUGAUCAGGCAGAGCUCAGUUCCAGAGUUUCUCAUCACAGGAAAACAUUUUAGAAACAGAAAGCUGUUAUGUAAUCUCUUAACAGUGUGGAGAAGAUGCGGGGCAAGAACUCAGUUCUAGCUUCCAAGUAAUCCGAGGGAAAUACGUAAUUCUCAUGGCUGAUGAGUGGAAUAGGUCUGCACCUGGGAUCCUUGCAAACCCAGGCCACUGAAGUGGACCACGUGGAACAUUAACCACUUGACCAUGAGGCUGGCCUCUGGAAGUUUCUGUCUUUAGGAUAAUUUUUUUUUUCUGUUGCAGUAUUUGAUUUUUUAAUUUCCCAAAUGUUCUUGAUAUAGUUCAAUUCUUCAUCACCCUCAUAAGCUCUAUCUGCCCCUCACAGAUACAAUUUCCUCCCAGGAAGCUCUGACUGGAGUCAUAGCAGAGCUAGACAAGUCUGAUAGGGAAACAUUCAUGACUAAUCCAAACUCUGGGUCUGUUUUUGUUAAAAGUGAAACCCUGGAGAAGUUGUGCAUGAGACUUUUCAGUUAAAAAAUAAAAUAAAUAUUUCCCUUUUGAGUAAAAGUGCAAUUACUCUAUGUUAUUUAAUCAUACCCUGAGAGACUAGAGAAAGGUUUCUUGAAGGGUCGCUCCUGUCUUCUGUCAGGAAAUGAAUGGCAGAAUAAAGUACCCCUGCCGAAACAGAGUAAGAAGGACCUCUUUUCUCAUCUGAACUUCAUCUAAGUGUAUCAAAUUACAAUAUAUAAUAAUUCAACCUGAACUUUAAUAGUAUCCUCUGUGAAAUUUUUGAUAACGUUUAUUCACCCUUUGCCAUGCCAAUUAGUUACUCAUUUAUGUGUCCCUGCUCCUCUGAAUAAAUUGUGACUUUGUUGAAGGCAUAGAUGAUGCUUUUUAAAAUCUUAUUAUCCUAUACCUCCCUUCUGAAUACACAGAAUAAUCCAUCAUAUUAUGAGAUGCUCAGAAUACGUCUGUUGACCAUCUUGGAAAUAGAGCUACAUUAUAUUAGUCCAAAGCAUUGCAUUUGCAAGUUUUUUUA
rnacentral:lncRNA from 1 species